GAAGCCAAGAUAUUCACUACAGUACUUAGGUUUUAGCUAGUCAAACACCUCAUUACCGUAAAUGGUAUCUCCAUCAUUGCAAUAAUUUGGUAAUGUGAAGUAUGCACUCAAUUCUUCAUUUUUUCUGUACUUCAAUCUAACCUUUAACCUCGCCAGUUUUGGCAUGAGGAGCGCAUAUGAAAGUGGGAUCAACCAAAGAGCACACUAUUAGGGUUAAGGAACCCUAAC
rnacentral:misc_RNA from 1 species